rnacentral:tRNA from 1 species
ACCUGGGUGGCUCAGUCGGUUGAGCAUCUGACUUUGGCUCAGGUCACAAUCUCUCAGUCUGUGAGUUCAAGCCCCGCCUCGGGCU